CAGGAAGCAGGCGCUCACCAGACACAGAGUCUGCGGCUCCCGGAUCUCAGGCUUUCAGCCUCCAGAGCUGUGAGCAAUCAGUGUUGGUUGUUUGGGGCACGCAGUCUGGACAGAAGAAGACAACAGCUCUGGAGCACUGGAGAAUUCACUAGGAUCAUCUGGUGAGCAUUUUAAAAGGGUCCCUGUCAAAAAUGAAGCAGCAGAACAGCAUCCAAAUGUGAUCUCCCUCUUUGAUGGCAUUCACCUCUCCUCUGGGAAAGGUGAGGAAUGUCACAGGGCCUGUGCUUGUCCUCCUAGCUGCUGCUGUAUCUCCAAGGACAUUCCAAUGAGCAUGCUGGGGAGGCUUUGGGGAGGCCAGGCUCUGGGAAUUGUGGUUUUCUGUCUUGAGGUGUGCAUGUCCCUGGUGACACAAGCGCCAGCCUCCGCAUGCACACAGGACAGGGUCAGCAGGAUGCGCCAGGGAGCCCAGGAGCCCUGCAUGGCCCCUUUAGAGCCCACCUUUCUACUGAUUACUAUAAAUUAGUCUUCCCCUCAUUGGGGGGUAGGGGGGAAGAUAUGAGAAAGAACAGGUAGGACGGGUAAUGCCAGAAGAUGGUCUGAGCCUCGUGCAGCCUCUGGGGCCGUGACACUCUGAUGCUCUGAGAAAUCAGCCACAGAUUCCGUCUCACAUCGGCAACAAGUACUCAGAAUAAUCCAGGACUUAAAUAUAUUUCUUUUCACUCUCUGGCAAAAUACAAACACCUUGCAGAAUGCAUUUGGCCGAUCAAGACUGUAAGUGAUUUUCAUCUGCAAUAUCUUCCUGUUUAAUAAAAAAAAAAAAAAAAUACAGCACAAAUACCAUCAAUGAAGAACGCUUUUGAGGAUCCACCAAGGCCAUUUCCUCUUAACUACUCUUUUCCCCAGCAUGCAGAGUAGAUUGCUGAGCCAGCUGCUUACAGGAAAUAAUUAUUAUCUCUCGCCAGCACCUAGGAGGAAAGGGAGAUAAUUUUUAAGAUGUAGAAGACACCCAAUUUCAGAAGAUUCCACUGAUUAAUUUUCUCAGUGCUUUCAUUCAAGCUGCUUGCUUCAUCUGGAAAUGGGUUUCUACCUAGGAAACCGGAGUGCAAAGCACAACAGUCACAGAGCACGCUCUCAGGCGACAUUUGCAACAGACACUCAUUCCCAGAAGCUCCUCGGCCCCUCAGCAAUUCAAGGGGAAGAUCCCCUCCGUGAUGGUGAAUGGGAGGUGGCCUGGGCCGCAGAAAGCACAUUGGGAACUGUCCUCUCCCCAGAUCACGGAGCACAAAAGCAAUAACUGUUAUUUAUGUGGCUAUUGCUCACAGCUUGCUCGCUGUGAACAGUUAACUGCACGGAAACAAGCCAUCAUUUACCAGGGAAGCUUAUAAAAAUCACUCAUCUACAGUAACGUUACUUAAAAAUUAUCUACGCACCCCGACACACACACAUACACCCCAGUCCUAAAGGUAGCGCGGAGGACCUUGCAUGGACGGAAAUAGCAGUGCGACAUAGCAUUUGUAACUUAAGAUACUCAAGCUUUCCCAGCGGCUGCUCUCAUUCCAAGCAUCGCAUGUCUUGGAAGCUUCUCCGAAUCGUGGAGGGACACAAGCCCGGGGAAUAAAUAUUCUGUUCUCCUGUUGCAGGCGGAGCAUCCUCCCGAAGGCUCAGUAACCCCACCUGUACAUUGGGACUUUAUGACACCUGCCCCAUUUACCUGAUAAAGAUCUUUUGGAGAUGGGAUGAGAUAAAGACUUUUAAGUUGUUUCGAGAGCUUAUAAAUGAUACUCAGCUAUCGUAGGGCUUGUUGUGCCUUUGCCUCAAACAACGUGGGGGUAUCUUGUGCAUUUGGCACUCGGUGCAGUCGGGCAUUAAAGGACUUUACGUGAAAAGAAUUGACCUGGUUGUUUUUACUUCCCAUCUGAAUAGUUGUUUCUUUAUUGGUUAGUGUGACGUAAAAACAUACACCUAAUUCUCUUUUCUUAGCAACAAUAAUUAUGACUUAGACUUUGUUAGGAUAAGAAGCCAUAAUAUACUUCUAGUGAUGGGUAAACCUGGUAGCAACUUUGGGACCCCUGGGGGGCUCAGUGGUUGAGCGUCUGCCUUCGGCUCAGGUCAUGAUCUGAAGGUCCUGGGGUUGGGCCCCACAUCGGGCUCUCUGCUUAUGGGGGAGCCUGCUUCUCCCUCUGUCUCUGUGCUCUCUCUCUCUCUCAAGUAAAUAAAUAAAAUCUUAAAAAAAAAAUAGCAACUUAUUCCCAUGAGGGCUUUCUGCUGGCUAGACGCCUUCCUAAUCAUUGCACAGAUUAAC
rnacentral:lncRNA from 1 species